GUUAGGAAUAUUGGACAAUGGGCGCAAGCCUGAUCCAGCCAUGCCGCGUGAGUGAUGAAGGCCUUCGGGUUGUAAAGCUCUUUAGCCGAUGAUUAUAAUGACUGUAGUCGGAAAAUAAGCCCCGGCUAACUUCGUGCCAGCAGCCGCGGUAAUACGAAGGGGGCGAGCGUUAUUCGGAAUCACUGGGCGUAAAGCGUGCGUAGGCGGCUUUGCAAGUUGGGAGUGAAAGCCCAGGGCUCAACCCUGGAAUUGCUCGCAAAACGGCGAGGCUCGAAUUCGGGAGAGGAUAGCGGAAUUGUCAGUGUAGCAGUGAAAUGCGUAGAUAUUGACAGGAACACCAGUGGCGUAAGCGGCUAUCUGGACCGAUAUUGACGCUGAGGCACGAAAGCGUGGGGAUCAAACAGGAUUAGAUACCCGUGUAGUCC
rnacentral:rRNA from 1 species